rnacentral:tRNA from 1 species
GACGGUAUAGCUCAGUGGUAGAGUGCAAGCUUAGCAUGCAUGAGGUCCUGGGUUCAAUCCCCAGCACCUUCA